GACGAACGCUGGCGGCGUGCUUAACACAUGCAAGUCGAACGGAAAGGCCCUGCUUUUGUGGGGUGCUCGAGUGGCGAACGGGUGAGUAACACGUGAGUAGCCUGCCCUUGACUUUGGGAUAACUUCAGGAAACUGGGGCUAAUACCGGAUAGGAGCUCCUGCUGCAUGGUGGGGGUUGGAAAGUUUCGGCGUUUGGGGUUUGACUCGCGGCUUAUCAGCUUGUUGGUGGGGUAGUGGCUUACCAAGGCUUUGACGGGUAGCCGGCCUGAGAGGGUGACCGGCCACAUUGGGACUGAGAUACGGCCCAGACUCCUACGGGAGGCAGCAGUGGGGAAUAUUGCACGAUGGGCGGAAGCCUGAUGCAGCAACGCCGCGUGCGGGAUGACGGCCUUCGGGUUGUAAACCGCUUUCGCCUGUGACGAAGCGUGAGUGACGGUAAUGGGUAAAGAAGCACCGGCUAACUACGUG
rnacentral:rRNA from 1 species